rnacentral:rRNA from 1 species
GCCCGCAGCUCACUGCGGAACUGCCCUUGAUACUGGUAGUCUUGAGUAUAAGUGAWGUUGGCGGAAUGUGUGGUGUAGCGGUGAAAUGCUUAGAUAUCACACAGAACACCGAUUGCGAAGGCAGCUGGCUAACUUGUAACUGACGCUGAGGGACGAAAGUGUGGGGAUCAAACAGGAUUAGAUACCCUGGUAGUCCACACCGUAAACGAUGAUUACUAGAUUUUGGCCGCAAGGUCAGAGUCCAAGCGAAAGUGUUUAGUAAUCCACCUGGGGAGUACGUCCGCAAGGAUGAAACUCAAAGGAAUUGACGGGGGCCCGCACAAGCGGUGGAGCAUGUGGUUUAAUUCGAUGAUACGCGAGGAACCUUACCUGGGCUUGAAAGUUAGUGACCGCUCCUGAAAGGGAGCUUCCCGCAAGGGCACGAAACUAGGUGCUGCAUGGCUGUCGUCAGCUCGUGCCGUGAGGUGUCGGAUUAAGUUCCAUAACGAGCGCAACCCCUAUCUUUAGUUGCCAGCGGGUAAUGCCGGGGACUCUAAAGAAACUGCCCGUGUAAGCGGUGAGGAAGGUGGGGAUGACGUCAAGUCAUCACGGCCCUUACGUCCAGGGCGACACACGUGCUACAAUGGUAGGGACAGUGAGUUGCAAACCAGUAAUGGUGAGCUAAUCUAUAAACCCUAUCUCAGUUCGGAUCGAGGUCUGCAACCCGACCUCGUGAAGCUGGAAUCGCUAGUAAUCRGAUAUCAGCCAUGAUCCGGUGAAUACGUUCCCGGGCCUUGUACACACCGCCCGUCAAGCCAUGGAAAUUGGGGGUGCCUAAAGUCGGCCACCGUAAGGAGCUGCCUAGGGCAAAACCAGUAACUGGGGCUAAGUCGUAACAAGGUAGCCGUACCGGAAGGUGCGGCUGGAAUACCUCCUUU